UACGUAGGGUGCGAGCGUUGUCCGGAAUUAUUGGGCGUAAAGGGCUCGUAGGCGGUCUGUUGCGUCAGGAGUGAAAACUCGGGGCUUAACCCCGAGCCUGCUUCUGAUACGGGCAGACUAGAGGUAUGCAGGGGAGAACGGAAUUCCUGGUGUAGCGGUGAAAUGCGCAGAUAUCAGGAGGAACACCGGUGGCGAAGGCGGUUCUCUGGGCCUGUUCUGACGCUGAGGCGCGAAAGCUAGGGGAGCGAACAGG
rnacentral:rRNA from 1 species